rnacentral:tRNA from 1 species
AGCUCAGUGGUAGAGCAUGUGCAUAGCGCGCAUGAGGUCCUGGGUUCAAUUCCCAG